UUCCGGUUGAUCCUGCCGGACCUGACUGCUAUCGGAUUGAUACUAAGCCAUGCGAGUCAUUGCAGCAAUGCAAGGCAGACGGCUCAGUAACGCGUAGUCAACCUAACCUAUGGACGGGAAUAACCUCGGGAAACUGAGAAUAAUGCCCGAUAGAACACUAUACCUGGAAUGGUUUGUGUUCCAAAUGAUUUAUCGCCGUAGGAUGGGACUGCGGCCUAUCAGUUUGUUGGUGAGGUAAUGGCCCACCAAGACUAUUACAGGUACGGGCUCUGAGAGGAGUAGCCCGGAGAUGGGUACUGAGACACGGACCCAGGCCCUAUGGGGCGCAGCAGGCGAGAAAACUUUGCAAUGUGCGAAAGCACGACAAGGUUAAUCCGAGUGGUUUCUGCUAAAGGAACCUUUUGUUAGUCCUAGAAACACUAACGAAUAAGGGGUGGGCAAGUUCUGGUGUCAGCCGCCGCGGUAAAACCAGCACCUCAAGUGGUCAGGAUGAUUAUUGGGCCUAAAGCAUCCGUAGCCGGCUCUGUAAGUUUUCGGUUAAAUCUGUACGCUCAACGUACAGGCUGCCGGGAAUACUGCAGAGCUAGGGAGUGGGAGAGGUAGACGGUACUCGGGAGGAAGUGGUAAAAUGCUUUGAUCUCUCGAUGACCACCUGUGGCGAAGGCGGUCUACCAGAACACGUCCGACGGUGAGGGAUGAAAGCUGGGGGAGCAAACCGGAUUAGAUACCCGGGUAGUCCCAGCUGUAAACUAUGCAAACUCAGUGAUGCAUUGGCUUGUGGCCAAUGCAGUAUUGCAGGGAAGCCGUUAAGUUUGCCGCCUGGGAAGUACGUACGCAAGUAUGAAACUUAAAGGAAUUGGCGGGGGAGCACCACAAGGGGUGAAGCCUGCGGUUCAAUUGGAUUCAACGCCGGA
rnacentral:rRNA from 1 species